rnacentral:rRNA from 1 species
UUAAAUUGAAGAGUUUGAUCAUGGCUCAGAUUGAACGCUGGCGGCAGGCCUAACACAUGCAAGUCGAACGGUAACAGGAAGCAGCUUGCUGCUUUGCUGACGAGUGGCGGACGGGUGAGUAAUGUCUGGGAAACUGCCUGAUGGAGGGGGAUAACUACUGGAAACGGUGGCUAAUACCGCAUAACGUCGCAAGACCAAAGAGGGGGACCUUCGGGCCUCUUGCCAUCAGAUGUGCCCAGAUGGGAUUAGCUAGUUGGUGAGGUAACGGCUCACCAAGGCGACGAUCCCUAGCUGGUCUGAGAGGAUGACCAGCCACACUGGAACUGAGACACGGUCCAGACUCCUACGGGAGGCAGCAGUGGGGAAUAUUGCACAAUGGGCGCAAGCCUGAUGCAGCCAUGCCGCGUGUAUGAAGAAGGCCUUAGGGUUGUAAAGUACUUUCAGCGGGGAGGAAGGUGUUGUGGUUAAUAACCGCAGCAAUUGACGUUACCCGCAGAAGAAGCACCGGCUAACUCCGUGCCAGCAGCCGCGGUAAUACGGAGGGUGCAAGCGUUAAUCGGAAUUACUGGGCGUAAAGCGCACGCAGGCGGUCUGUCAAGUCGGAUGUGAAAUCCCCGGGCUCAACCUGGGAACUGCAUUCGAAACUGGCAGGCUUGAGUCUUGUAGAGGGGGGUAGAAUUCCAGGUGUAGCGGUGAAAUGCGUAGAGAUCUGGAGGAAUACCGGUGGCGAAGGCGGCCCCCUGGACAAAGACUGACGCUCAGGUGCGAAAGCGUGGGGAGCAAACAGGAUUAGAUACCCUGGUAGUCCACGCCGUAAACGAUGUCUACUUGGAGGUUGUGCCCUUGAGGCGUGGCUUCCGGAGCUAACGCGUUAAGUAGACCGCCUGGGGAGUACGGCCGCAAGGUUAAAACUCAAAUGAAUUGACGGGGGCCCGCACAAGCGGUGGAGCAUGUGGUUUAAUUCGAUGCAACGCGAAGAACCUUACCUGGUCUUGACAUCCACAGAACUUUCCAGAGAUGGAUUGGUGCCUUCGGGAACUGUGAGACAGGUGCUGCAUGGCUGUCGUCAGCUCGUGUUGUGAAAUGUUGGGUUAAGUCCCGCAACGAGCGCAACCCUUAUCCUUUGUUGCCAGCGAUUAGGUCGGGAACUCAAAGGAGACUGCCAGUGAUAAACUGGAGGAAGGUGGGGAUGACGUCAAGUCAUCAUGGCCCUUACGACCAGGGCUACACACGUGCUACAAUGGCGCAUACAAAGAGAAGCGACCUCGCGAGAGCAAGCGGACCUCAUAAAGUGCGUCGUAGUCCGGAUUGGAGUCUGCAACUCGACUCCAUGAAGUCGGAAUCGCUAGUAAUCGUGGAUCAGAAUGCCACGGUGAAUACGUUCCCGGGCCUUGUACACACCGCCCGUCACACCAUGGGAGUGGGUUGCAAAAGAAGUAGGUAGCUUAACCUUCGGGAGGGCGCUUACCACUUUGUGAUUCAUGACUGGGGUGAAGUCGUAACAAGGUAACCGUAGGGGAACCUGCGGUUGGAUCACCUCCUUACCUGAAAGAA